rnacentral:rRNA from 1 species
UAAUACGUACUGUGCGAACGUUAUUCGGAAUCACUGGGCUUAAAGGGUGCGUAGGCGGCCAAUUAAGUAGGGUGUGAAAUGCCUCGGCUCAACCGAGGAACUGCGCUCUAAACUAAUUGGCUCGAGUGAGAUAGGGGUGUGCGGAACUUCCAGUGGAGCGGUGAAAUGUGUUGAUAUUGGAAGGAACGCCGGUGGCGAAAGCGGCACACUGGGUCUUAACUGACGCUGAGGCACGAAAGCCAGGGGAGCGAACGGGAUUAGAUACCCCGGUAGUCCUGGCCGUAAACGCUGAGCACUAGUUGGGAGGGGCUUCGGCCCGUUCGAACGCAGCGAAAGCAUUAAGUGCUCCGCCUGGGGAGUAUGGUCGCAAGGCUG